rnacentral:rRNA from 1 species
GACGAACGCUGGCGGCGUGCUUAACACAUGCAAGUCGAACGAAGUGGCGAACGGGUGAGUAAUACGUUGGUAACCUGCCCUCCUUUUUGGGAUAAGCCUUGGAAACGGGGUCUAAUACCGACUCAAGGGGGAUGGGCUCGCGGCCUCUCAGCUUGUUGGUGGGGUGAUGGCCUACCACGGCGGUGACGGGUAGCCGGCCUGAGAGGGUGACCGGCCACAUUGGGAAUGAGAUACGGCCCAGAAUCAUACGGGAGGCAGAAGUGGGGAAUAUUGCACAAUGGGCGCAAGCCUGAUGCAGCCAUGCGGCGUGUAUGAAGAAGGCCCUAGGGUUGUAAAGUACGUUCAGGCGGGAGGCGUUACCGACAGAAGAAGAACCGGCUAACUCCGUGCCAGCAGCCGCGGUAAUUC